CCUACGGGUGGCAGCAGUGGGGAAUAUUGCUCAAUGGGCGCUAGCCUGAACCAGCCAAGUAGCGUGAAGGAUGACUGCCCUCUGGGUUGUAAACUUCUUUUAUAUGGGAAUAAAGUGCAGUAUGUAUACUGCUUUGCAUGUACCUUAUGAAUAAAGAUCGGCUAACUCCGUUCCAGCAGCCGCGGUAAUACGGAGGAUCCGAGCGUUAUCCGGAUUUAGUGGGUUUAAAGGGCGCGUAGGCGGGUUGUUAAGUCAGUUGUGAAAGUUUGGGGCUCAACCGUAAAAUUGCAGUUGAUACUGGCAGACUUGAGUACAGGAGAGGUAGGCGGAAUUCGUGGUGUAGGGGUGAAAUGCUUAGAUAUCUCGAAGAACUUCGAUGGCGAAGGCAGCCUGCUGGACUGUAACUGACGCUGAUGAGCGAAAGUGUGGGUAUCAAACAGGAUUAGAUACCCCGGUAGUC
rnacentral:rRNA from 1 species